rnacentral:lncRNA from 1 species
ACUCAUUCUGACAGAAGCAGAGAUAAAACAGACUAAGUACACAGAGGAGUUUAAGGUUUCGUGAAUGUAAGUGCUGAGUACAGAAUGGUGCUCAAUAAAAGCUUGUUAAUUGAUGGACCACAGGUUUGUGACAAGACUUCUCAGAGUCUGAUUCUUUCAAGGUGGGAUAUAAGAGUAAGUAAAUGGCAUGGGGAAAAUCUGAUUGCCACAGACAGAAGAAUGAAACUGGAUGCCUAUUUCUCACAAUACACAAAAGCGAUUCAAGAUUAAAGACUUAACUAUACCUUGACUAUGAAUAAUAGUUUCAAUAAGGAAGACAGAAUGAGUUCUGACACGAUGGUUGGGAGCUGUGACAGGCAGACGAAAAAUGGAGCCAAAUGGCAUGGAGGUGUGUCAUCACUGCUGGAUUUUACCUUGAUCUACAUUCAGUUAUCUACUUCUUUUCAAAAUGCUGGGCAUUCAUUCAAGAAACAGCAUAUAUGUUCUGACUUUGAAGUAAUGGAUGAACUGUCAUGUGCAGUAUAUGGAAAUAAGUUUUAUUACCUUCUUCCCACAUUAACUCAUCCAUCCAUUCAAUAGCCAUUUAUUGAGAAGCUCACUCUGUGUUAGGCACAGUGGUGUCAUGAUGUUGGAACAGUAACAAUAACUCAACCAACCAGGGCUUGUCUGAAUACAAUCCUACAGCAGCAGGAGCUGUGGAGAUAUAGAAGGCAAGGAAGACCAGGUUGUGAGGGAAGACGAAUUUACUCCCAGGAAUGUUGGGAUUGAGAGUAAUAUUCUCCAAUAAUGGUGGAAGACAGAACAAUAAAAGCCCACCAGCUCCUUCUGCAUGGUGGGAUAAGAGAAAAGCCAAGGGCAGAAGUGAGAAAAAUAACCAUCACCAAACUGAAAAGAAAACCUUUAUAAAAAAACUGGAUUGAUAAAUGACCUUUAGUAGUGGAAAGAUACCAUUCCAAUGAAGCAUGAAUUGAAAGGAUUUCUUCUGAAAGCUAAUUUACAUUUUUCUUUUUUUUUUUUUCAUUUUCAGUGUGUUUUAGCAGGUGUAUUGUUCUACAUGGUUAGUUUCUUUACCUCUUUGAGAAAAAUGGGUCAGCUUGACACAUCUGGAUGAAAGAAUCCGUUAGGUGAUUAUGAUUGAAGACAGAUUAAGCCUUGUUAUGAGGGGAAUAUUUGGGGGCUUACCCUGAGGUGAUAUUUGAUGAUUUAGCUGUGGGAGAAUUUCCCUCCCAAGAUCAGCGUGACUGACACUGAAAUUGCUACAGGGGAACCGGACCUUUCCAAGAGGUGACAAGGACAUUUACCUGGUACAACACAAUGGUUCUGGACUGGAAGUCUAGUCCCAUUGAUGAAGUUCCCAAAAGAUGUCCAGGUCCUAAUCCCUGGAAUCUGUGAAUAUGUCAUCUUACACAUCAAAAGAACUUUGAAAAUGUGAUUGAGGUUAAGGACCUUGGAAUGAGGAGAUUACCUUGGAUUAUCUGGUUGGGUCCAAGCUAAUCACAUGAGUCCUUAAAGGAGAAGAACCUUUUUUAGCUGGGUCAGAGAGAGAUGUGAUGAUGAAAACAGGCUCAGGGAGAUGCACUGUAAGAAGGGCUUGACCAGUUGUUUUUGACUUUGAAGAUGGAGGGAAGGGCCAGGAGCCAAGGAAGGUGGGUGGCUUUUGGAAGGUGGAAAAAGCAAGGGAACAUUCUCUCCAGAGCCUCCAGAAAGGAGCUCAGCCCUGUUGACAUCUUUGUUUUUAUUUUUUAUUUUUAGUAGCAUUGAGGUCUCACUAUGUUGCACAGGCUGGUCUUGAACUCUUGAGCUCAAGCACUCCUCCCGCCUUGGCUUCCCAAAGUGCUGGGAUUAUAGGCAUGUGCCACCACAUCUGGCUUCCUACUGACAUCUUAACUUUAGUGCAGUGAGACUCAUAUUUGAAUUUCUGACCUUAUAUUAUAGAACCAUAAGACAUUAUAGAAUUAUAUAGAAUUAUAGAACCAUAAGACAAUAACUUUGUGUUGUUUUAAGAUACUAAAUUUUUGGUAAUUUGUUAUGGCAGCACAAUAAAACCAAUAUAGCAUUAUAUU